rnacentral:rRNA from 1 species
ACUAAGCGUACACGGUGGAUGCCCUGGCAGUCAGAGGCGAUGAAGGACGUGCUAAUCUGCGAUAAGCGCCGGUAAGGUGAUAUGAACCGUUAUAACCGGCGAUUUCCGAAUGGGGAAACCCAGUGUGACUCGUCACACUAUCAUUAACUGAAUCCAUAGGUUAAUGAGGCGAACCGGGGGAACUGAAACAUCUAAGUACCCCGAGGAAAAGAAAUCAACCGAGAUUCCCCCAGUAGCGGCGAGCGAACGGGGAGGAGCCCAGAGCCUGAAUCAGCAUGUGUGUUAGUGGAAGCGUCUGGAAAGGCGCGCGAUACAGGGUGACAGCCCCGUACACAAAAGCGCAUGUGCUGUGAGCUCGAUGAGUAGGGCGGGACACGUGGUAUCCUGUCUGAAUAUGGGGGGACCAUCCUCCAAGGCUAAAUACUCCUGACUGACCGAUAGUGAACCAGUACCGUGAGGGAAAGGCGAAAAGAACCCCGGCGAGGGGAGUGAAAAAGAACCUGAAACCGUGUACGUACAAGCAGUGGGAGCACCCUUUGGGGUGUGACUGCGUACCUUUUGUAUAAUGGGUCAGCGACUUAUAUUCUGUAGCAAGGUUAACCGAAUAGGGGAGCCGGAGGGAAACCGAGUCUUAAUUGGGCGUUAAGUUGCAGGGUAUAGACCCGAAACCCGGUGAUCUAGCCAUGGGCAGGUUGAAGGUUGGGUAACACUAACUGGAGGACCGAACCGACUAAUGUUGAAAAAUUAGCGGAUGACCUGUGGCUGGGGGUGAAAGGCCAAUCAAACCGGGAGAUAGCUGGUUCUCCCCGAAAGCUAUUUAGGUAGCGCCUCGUGAAUUCAUCUCCGGGGGUAGAGCACUGUUUCGGCUAGGGGGCCAUCCCGGCUUACCAACCCGAUGCAAACUGCGAAUACCGGAGAAUGUUAUCACGGGAGACACACGGCGGGUGCUAACGUCCGUCGUGAAGAGGGAAACAACCCAGACCGCCAGCUAAGGUCCCAAAGUCAUGGUUAAGUGGGAAACGAUGUGGGAAGGCCCAGACAGCCAGGAUGUUGGCUUAGAAGCAGCCAUCAUUUAAAGAAAGCGUAAUAGCUCACUGGUCGAGUCGGCCUGCGCGGAAGAUGUAACGGGGCUAAACCAUGCACCGAAGCUGCGGCAGCGACGCUGAUGCGUUGUUGGGUAGGGGAGCGUUCUGUAAGCCUGCGAAGGUGGCCUGUGAGGGUUGCUGGAGGUAUCAGAAGUGCGAAUGCUGACAUAAGUAACGAUAAAGCGGGUGAAAAGCCCGCUCGCCGGAAGACCAAGGGUUCCUGUCCAACGUUAAUCGGGGCAGGGUGAGUCGACCCCUAAGGCGAGGCCGAAAGGCGUAGUCGAUGGGAAACGGGUUAAUAUUCCCGUACUUGGUGUUACUGCGAAGGGGGGACGGAGAAGGCUAUGUUGGCCGGGCGACGGUUGUCCCGGUUUAAGCGUGUAGGUGUGUGUUCCAGGUAAAUCCGGUUCACUUUAACACUGAGGCGUGAUGACGAGGCACUACGGUGCUGAAGCAACAAAUGCCCUGCUUCCAGGAAAAGCCUCUAAGCAUCAGGUAACAUCAAAUCGUACCCCAAACCGACACAGGUGGUCAGGUAGAGAAUACCAAGGCGCUUGAGAGAACUCGGGUGAAGGAACUAGGCAAAAUGGUGCCGUAACUUCGGGAGAAGGCACGCUGACACGUAGGUGAAGUGAUUUACUCAUGGAGCUGAAGUCAGUCGAAGAUACCAGCUGGCUGCAACUGUUUAUUAAAAACACAGCACUGUGCAAACACGAAAGUGGACGUAUACGGUGUGACGCCUGCCCGGUGCCGGAAGGUUAAUUGAUGGGGUCAGCGCAAGCGAAGCUCCUGAUCGAAGCCCCGGUAAACGGCGGCCGUAACUAUAACGGUCCUAAGGUAGCGAAAUUCCUUGUCGGGUAAGUUCCGACCUGCACGAAUGGCGUAAUGAUGGCCAGGCUGUCUCCACCCGAGACUCAGUGAAAUUGAACUCGCUGUGAAGAUGCAGUGUACCCGCGGCAAGACGGAAAGACCCCGUGAACCUUUACUAUAGCUUGACACUGAACAUUGAGCCUUGAUGUGUAGGAUAGGUGGGAGGCUUUGAAGUGUGGACGCCAGUCUGCAUGGAGCCGGCCUUGAAAUACCACCCUUUAAUGUUUGAUGUUCUAACGUGGACCCGUGAUCCGGGUUGCGGACAGUGUCUGGUGGGUAGUUUGACUGGGGCGGUCUCCUCCUAAAGAGUAACGGAGGAGCACGAAGGUUGGCUAAUCCUGGUCGGACAUCAGGAGGUUAGUGCAAUGGCAUAAGCCAGCUUGACUGCGAGCGUGACGGCGCGAGCAGGUGCGAAAGCAGGUCAUAGUGAUCCGGUGGUUCUGAAUGGAAGGGCCAUCGCUCAACGGAUAAAAGGUACUCCGGGGAUAACAGGCUGAUACCGCCCAAGAGUUCAUAUCGACGGCGGUGUUUGGCACCUCGAUGUCGGCUCAUCACAUCCUGGGGCUGAAGUAGGUCCCAAGGGUAUGGCUGUUCGCCAUUUAAAGUGGUACGCGAGCUGGGUUUAGAACGUCGUGAGACAGUUCGGUCCCUAUCUGCCGUGGGCGCUGGAGAACUGAGGGGGGCUGCUCCUAGUACGAGAGGACCGGAGUGGACGCAUCACUGGUGUUCGGGUUGUCAUGCCAAUGGCACUGCCCGGUAGCUAAAUGCGGAAGAGAUAAGUGCUGAAAGCAUCUAAGCACGAAACUUGCCCCGAGAUGAGUUCUCCCUGAGACUUAGAGUCUCCUGAAGGAACGUUGAAGACGACGACGUUGAUAGGCCGGGUGUGUAAGCGCAGCGAUGCGUUGAGCUAACCGGUACUAAUGAACCGUGAGGCUUAACC